CCCUUAGAUGUUCUGGGCCGCACGCGCGCUACACUGACGAAUGCAACGAGCUUAUAACCUUGGCCGAAAGGUCUGGGCAAUCUUUGAACGCCAGUCGUGAUGGGGAUAGAUUCUUGCAAUUUUUGAUCUUCAACGAGGAAUUCCUAGUAAACGCGAGUCAUCAACUCGCAUUGAUUACGUCCCUGCCCUUUGUACACACCGCCCGUCGCACCUACCGAUUGAAUGGUCCGGUGAAAUCUCGGGACGGCGGCUUGGUCGCUUGCGUCCGACUGCUGAAACUUGAUUAAACCAUAUCAUUUAGAGGAAGGUGAAGUCGUAACA
rnacentral:rRNA from 1 species